CACGUAGGGACCAAGCGUUGUCCGGAUUUAUUGGGCGUAAAGAGCAUGUAGGCGGCCAGGUAGGUCUGGUGUGAAAACUCGAGGCUCAACCUCGAGAUGUCGGUGGAAACCGCGUGGCUAGAGUCCGGAAGAGGAGAGUGGAAUUCCCGGUGUAGCGGUGAAAUGCGCAGAUAUCGGGAAGAACACCCAUGGCGAAGGCAGCUCUCUGGGACGGUACUGACGCUGAGACGCGAAAGCGUGGGGAGCGAACAGG
rnacentral:rRNA from 1 species